rnacentral:rRNA from 1 species
CCUGGCCUUGACAUACUAAGAACUUUCCAGAGAUGGAUUGGUGCCUUCGGGAACUUAGAUACAGGUGCUGCAUGGCUGUCGUCAGCUCGUGUCGUGAGAUGUUGGGUUAAGUCCGCAACGAGCGCAACCCUUUUCCUUAUUUGCCAGCGGGUCACGCCGGGAACUUUAAGGAUACUGCCAGUGACAAACUGGAGGAAGGCGGGGACGACGUCAAGUCAUCAUGGCCCUUACGGCCAGGGCUACACACGUGCUACAAUGGUCGGUACAAAGGGUUGCUACCUCGCGAGAGGAUGCUAAUCUCAAAAAGCCGAUCGUAGUCCGGAUCGCAGUCUGCAACUCGACUGCGUGAAGUCGGAAUCGCUAGUAAUCGCGGAUCAGAAUGCCGCGGUGAAUACGUUCCCGGGCCUUGUACACACCGCCCGUCACACCAUGGGAGUUUGUUGCACCAGAAGUAGGUAGUCUAACCGCAAGGAGGACGCUUACCACGGUGUGGCCGAUGACUGGGGUGAAGUCGUAACAAGGUAAGCGUAGAUGA